rnacentral:rRNA from 1 species
GAGUUUGAUCAUGGCUCAGAGUGAACGCUGGCGGCGUGCCUAAUACAUGCAAGUCGAACGGAAUUUAAAAGAGCUUGCUCUUUUAAAUUUAGUGGCGCACGGGUGAGUAAUAUAUAGCUAAUCUGCCCCUUGCUGGAGGACAACAGUUAGAAAUGACUGCUAAUACUCCAUACUCCUUUUUACCAUAAGAUAAAUCGGGAAAGAAUUUCGGCAAGGGAUGAGACUAUAUCGUAUCAGCUAGUCGGUGGGGUAACGGCCUACCGAGGCUAUGACGCGUAACUGGUCUGAGAGGAUGAUCAGUCACAUUGGAACUGAGACACGGUCCAAACUCCUACGGGAGGCAGCAGUAGGGAAUAUUGCGCAAUGGGGGAAACCCUGACGCAGCAACGCCGCGUGGAGGAUGACACUUUUCGGAGCGUAAACUCCUUUUGUUAGGGAAGAAUAAUGACGGUACCUAACGAAUAAGCACCGGCUAACUCCGUGCCAGCAGCCGCGGUAAUACGGAGGGUGCAAGCGUUACUCGGAAUCACUGGGCGUAAAGGACGCGUAGGCGGAUUAUCAAGUCUCUUGUGAAAUCUAACGGCUUAACCGUUAAACUGCUUGGGAAACUGAUAAUCUAGAGUAAGGGAGAGGCAGAUGGAAUUCUUGGUGUAGGGGUAAAAUCCGUAGAUAUCAAGAAGAAUACCUAUUGCGAAGGCGAUCUGCUGGAACUUAACUGACGCUAAUGCGUGAAAGCGUGGGGAGCAAACAGGAUUAGAUACCCUGGUAGUCCACGCCCUAAGCGAUGUAUACCGGUUGUUGCUGUGCUAGUCACGGCAGUAAUCCACCUAACGGAUUAAGUAUACCGCCUGGGGAGUACGGUCGCAAGAUUAAAACUCAAAGGAAUAGACGGGGACCCGCACAAGCGGUGGAGCAUGUGGUUUAAUUCGAAGAUACGCGAAGAACCUUACCCGGACUUGAUAUCUAACAAAUCAUCCAGAGAUGGAAGAGUGUCUGCUUGCAGAAAUGUUAAGACAGGUGCUGCACGGCUGUCGUCAGCUCGUGUCGUGAGAUGUUGGGUUAAGUCCCGCAACGAGCGCAACCCACGUCAUUAGUUGCUAACGGUUCGGCCGAGCACUCUAAUGAGACUGCCUUCGUAAGGAGGAGGAAGGUGUGGACGACGUCAAGUCAUCAUGGCCCUUAUGUCCGGGGCGACACACGUGCUACAAUGGCAUAUACAAUAAGACGCAAUAUCGUAAGAUGGAGCAAAUCUAAAAAAUAUGUCCCAGUUCGGAUUGGAGUCUGCAACUCGACUCCAUGAAGCCGGAAUCGCUAGUAAUCGUAGAUCAGCCAUGCUACGGUGAAUACGUUCCCGGGUCUUGCACACACCGCCCGUC